GAUAAACGCUGGCGGCGCACAUAAGGCAUGCAAGUUGAACGGACUUAAUCGAAAUAUUUAUAUUUUGAAGCGGUUAGUGGCGGACUGGUGAGUAACGCGUAAGGAACCUGCCUAUUAGAGGGGAAUAACAGUGAGAAAUCAUUGCUAAUACCGCAUAUGCCAUAGAUAUCACAUGAUAACAGUGGGAAAGGAGCAAUCCGCUAAUAGAUGGCCUUGCGUCUGAUUAGAUAGUUGGUGGGGUAACGGCCUACCAAGUCGACGAUCAGUAGCCGGACUGAGAGGUUGAACGGCCACAUUGGGACUGAGAUACGGCCCAGACUCCUACGGGAGGCAGCAGUCGGGAAUAUUGCGCAAUGGAGGAAACUCUGACGCAGUGACGCCGCGUAUAGGAAGAAGGUUUUCGGAUUGUAAACUAUUGUCGUUAGGGAAGAGAAAGGACAGUACCUAAGGAGGAAGCUCCGGCUAACUACGUG
rnacentral:rRNA from 1 species